AGUAACACGUGGGUUACCUGCCCCGACUGAUUGGGACAACCCGAGGAAACUCGGGCUAAUACCAAAUGUGCUCCUGGCCGUAAUGGCCUUGAGGAAAGGAAGCUUCGGCCUCCGCAUCGGGAUGGGCCCGCGGCCCAUUAGCUUGUUGGUGGGGUAAUGGCCUACCAAGGCGACGAUGGGUAGCUGGUCUGAGAGGACGAUCAGCCACACUGGGACUGAGACACGGCCCAG
rnacentral:rRNA from 1 species